AUAUCCUGACACACAAGAACACGUUACCUCCAUAUCAAUGCAGUACCACAGAUCUCCUAAACUACAGCUAGACCUGGACUUUAUCCAUAAUACUACUCCCGGUGGUUCUGUCUAACAGGGGUUGGACUCGGCCCCUUAGUUCCAGUGAAAGGAACUCUUAAUGCUUCAGCUUCAUACCAAGACACCGGGACAACUCCAGAUUACAUUCAUGUGCAUAAAAAGCUACAGAAAAAAACCCAGGAGAAGUACACAGAGCUCUUGAUGGUCUGACCUGCCCUGACCUUCGGGGUCACUGACCACUCCAGGUCAAGGGGCUUAGACAUCUGACUGGACUCCGGGGUCAGCUACCAGAGUAAAGCUUGACCCUGUAAUCAGUGUGAGCAGAAACAGAGGAGGACUUCUUUGGCAGUUACGGGUCAGAGGUCAUGGGACACACUGCCUCUUGCUGGGAGGAAAAAAGACUGGAGAUAUGAUAAGCUGUAAACAUGCGGAGGGUAUUUCAAACACACACACACACACACAGACACACACACUCUUCUGCCUUAUACAAAUGCACCCUCCUUUCUUCCUCCUCCUCCUCCCCCCAGGUGCCCUGCCAUCGCAGGCGUGCGUCCUUCUGACAACUGCCUUCCCUCAUUAAUCUUGAUGUGUCUGCUCACCGCUGCAUUCUUCCACGGGCUUUCAACCCUCUCGCUAAUUGCAAUUAAUCACCAGGCGAAACAGAUGCUAGGAACAAACGCUCAAAAACAGGGAGGAGGGAACAUGGGGAGGUGGGAAGGGUAGAGGAGGAGGAGGAGGAGUGUUGAUGAAGCUGUCAGCAGGCGCUGAUGGGUGCGAGGGGUAAAAGGGUGCGAGGACGAGCGCGACCCUGUCACUAAAACCCCCCACAGAAUUCAUCAAAUCCUCCUGCAUUAUAGCCACAAUAAGGGCUAACCCAACAGAGACCAGACAGAAACAGAGGGCGGGGUCAGAGAUAGAACAAACAAACAAACAAAUAAAUAAACAAAUAAAUGGACAGUAAUGCUGAUCUGUGUAAUAGGUGUUUGAUUAUUAAACCUGACGCCUGAUCUGCUCCUUAACUCGAAUCCUUUCACGCCAAGAAAAGAAAAGAAAACAAGCUAAUAUAAUUAUCUAAUGUUACUCAUUA